ACUAGUCCAAAGAGUUGUACGGAAGAUAUGUGGUGAAGCUUGUAUGGAGAAUGACAUUCUAGCCCGAAGCCAAAAAAAACCCUCCUAAUGUUCCCCUCACCCCAAGUCUAGGGACCUAUUUCUGCAGAGUGACACUUAGCCAGGCAGCCAGCAUGAAGGACCACAGCUUGCCUCAUGCUCUACGAAGGAAGAGACGAGGCGGUAUGCAUUUUUAAAGGAUGAAAAAGGAGACACCUGUACUUAUAAAUCAUACUUUUGUUCUAUACUAGGCGCUAUGUAUCUGAGGUAUGGAGAUGGACAGAGAGCAGUGUUAAGGAAAAUGCAAGUUUAUACUUUGAAACUGUGUGCUGGGAUUUCAGGGUGCAAAUCAUCAUGACCCUCUAAAAACUCACAAUCGGUGGGAGUCAGCAACUUUGGCCCAUAUAGACAUAGUCAAGAUGCAAGCUUGCUGAUUCUCCUUUCCCUUGCUGGACCCCACCAAUGCAGUCUCUUGCUUUCCCUAAUUGUUAUCAUCUCUUGUGCCAGUCCAUCUUACCGAGGGCGUCCUUCACCCUUGCUGGCUCUCUACUUCAUCAAACAUGAUGUCCUCCUCCAGGGACUGAUCCCUCUUGAUGCCGAGUCCAAAGCAA